GCCAGCUAUAAAUACUUGAACUGAGCUGUCUUUCCUCCUUCUGAUCCUGUAGGCUCGCGUGGUGAUAAGGCGACGUCAAGGAAUGGAAGUUUUUCACAUGCAGAUCGCCCGUGUGGACUGGUGUUCAAAUUGGAUGUUGGGGAUGGGACAUUUUCCAAGGCUAGUGUCCUGGAUUGGAGGGAGGUUUGCAAGAAUGAGUUGGUCCUGAGACUUAGACAUGCUGGAAUGGGACAUCCCAAAACCAUAAAUGGGUGAAGGCCCCUCAUGUCACUUGCAGAUGUGAACCAAUCGGGAGUCUUUCUGUGGUUGUUGGUGAAUAGCCUGGAAGUUGGACUGGUCCCAAGACGCCGAGUUGGUCCGGAAGAAAGCUGACCAUCCUUCGCCUGAUCUAUAGUGCACUGAACACACAAGUGGGGGCUGAGGGUUUCUGUGAUCAGGGUGGACCAUGCACCUCAGUGCUCAUGGUCCCCUUUCCCUUUCAGGCCCAGGAAUGAAGAUCGGUGCUCCCGAGUCUAAUCCGGACAGAACUCGGAGAGCCCUGAUGCAAGCUGCGAGAACUGAUCAGAGCAGUCUUCAAAAAUCAAUAAAAAUGAGCUUUGUAACACC